GUACCUGGACCGGAUGCGAACCAAUCUCAAUUCCUCUCUCGCCCGCAACCAUACCUGGCGAUGCGCUGCUGCCGCCGCGCCACCGACCGUCGCCCCGACCGUCACCAGCCGCUUCCGGCGCCGCCACAUGUCGUCGAGGCUCAGUCGUCCUCUCCUUUACCGAACCCCCACCGGCUCCCCUCUCUUCUCUCAAGUGCGCAGCUCCCGAGCCCUCCAUGGCCUGGCCGCACCGCCGCUUUUCCCCGGCCGCUCCCGGCCCUCUCCGGCGCCAGCGAUCUAGGGCUUUGCUCCGCCUCGCCUCUCUCUACUGCCUCCCCUGUUCGAUUUGAUCCUCGCGGUCAAAAUCACCCACCCCCAACUCAGGAAGCCUAGCUCACCGUUGAUGGUUUUGGCCGUCGCUGGCCUUGGCGGGCACCGCUGUUUAUCGGCGUGGCCUUGCCACCUGUUUCCCCGCCAACACCCUCAGGCUUGACGCCGCCCCUACUCCGGCCGGUUCUGGUCACUACGGCCUUGCCGCGCACCUGCCCGAGCUCAGGCUGCUUCGCCUCCGCUGGUUUCCUAUCGCCGCCACGCACACACACACGCUCGCCUCAACUACUGAUAUUCGACGCUGGCUGGACGACAUUCUCUGCAACCCCGACGUCAUCGACCUGCUGCUAUUGUGUUUCUGUACUGGAAUAUGUGAGGAUUUGUGGCAGUAGAAAUGGCAUGGUGGUGGUGUACUAGUGCGGUGAUGGUUUCUGGUGGUGGUGGUGUGUUGUUGCCACUGCAUCCCUGACUUCGACGCCGGCGGGACGGUGCUGCCGGCGCAACCUCGGCGUCGGCUCCUACAUCUCUUCUCUGCAAUGCAAUGUGAUCACUUAAACAAGAGGUGAUGAUCUUCAAAUUUAGUUUAGGAUUUGAUUCUCUUUUCUUAUACUUGUAAUUGUACUAUAUUAUUAUUCUUUAUUAUUUUUGUAAAGACUUUGUAUUAUUGUGUGAAUAUCAAUAAAGGAAUAUUUUUCCUUGUUGUAGAAUA